AGAGGAGGAAUGGCUAAAGGGAGGGUAGAGGAAGGGGAGUAGGAUUCUGUUGGGAAGAAAAUUAUGUAAAACCAUUUUAUGUUUGAGUUUCACACUUGCUUUUUCAGGCCUCGAUCUGUUUAUCGUCCUUUAAAUCCUCUGGCACCUAGCCGAGACCAGGACUGAUCUAAGAACUUGAAUUCCCUGGUCUAGUUGUAUCUUUAAGACAUUUCUGAGACCCAAAGAGACACAGAAAGGUUAACCGAGGGGACUGCCUUCAGAUACUGUCUUAUAAUGCAGCAAAUGUUCUUCCGCAAAUCAUUCUGAUACUGCUGGAAAAGGGAAUUGGAUCAUGAAAAAGAGAGAGAGAGUUCCCAAGCAGGCAGAGCGACAGGCCGAGGCGGGGGAGAAGCAGGCGCUUCUUCACUGAGCAGGGAGCACGACACGGGCUGGAUCCCAGGGCCUGGACCUGAGGCGAAGGCAACUGCUGAGGCAAAUGAGAAACCCACGUGCCCCAGCGUGACGGGAUUCACUGUUCUUGCACCGCACCCAGGGCUCCAUGCAAUCCGUGCCCUCCUUAAUACCCACCACCUGGCUCCCCCAACCUCCCACCCCGCGCCCCUUCAAAACCCUCAGGCCCGUCCCUGUUGCUCCACAAGCUGGGUAUUCAUCCUUUCGGAUGGAGGCAUCCUACUGCAGAGCGUAUAUGGACCACAUCUUCCUUAUCCAUUUGUCUGCUGAAGCGCAUCCCAGUUCUUUCCGCAGUUUGGCGACCGUGGUCUUUGCUGCUAUAAACAUUGGGGUAGAGAUGGCCCUUCUUUUCACUCCAUCUGUAUCUUUGGGGUAAAUACCCAGUAUGCAAUUGCCAGGGUCCUUAUUCGACACAGCAGGCAUGACUUGGGUGAGGGCAGAAUGAGAAACACUCCCCCUGAGCAGGGAGCCUGAUGUUAGGUUUGAUCCCAGACUCCAAGAGCAGGACCUGAGCUGAUGGCCAAUACUUAACCCCCUGAACCACCCAAGAAUUCCUGGAGCGACUUUGUGAAACAAUCUCGUAUAAAUAGGAGUUUUCCAGAGUAGCAGAUAGUAAAAUGAACAUUUCAGUCUCCUAGUGCCCUCAGGAGUAUCCUUUUUAAUGUCCAAAAAUGGAGUUAGUUAACUUACAGCGCAGUAUUGUGUUCCGCAGUACAAUUCAGGGACUCAUCACUUCUCUCCACCACUCAAGAGCUGAUCACAACAAGUGCGUUCUUCAAUGCCCAUCAUCCUUUGACCCCUCCCCAACCCACUUCCCUCCAAGACCCCACAGGGUGCAGGAAGGCCUUCACCCUGAGAGUUCUGUCAUGAGCCAUCGCCACGGUGACCUGAUGACACGCAUCCAACCUUCCGUUCCAACUGUCACUCUGUGAGCCGAGCCCUGGCAGUUUGGUGAACAGGAGUAAAGCUCCCCACGAUGGAAAACCUCAGCUGUUGUUGUACGAAACCUGUGGGGAGCUUCUCCCUCAGAAUUUGGAGCCACCCACAACCAUGCCGGACCCUCCACAACCACCCAUGGAGAGAGUCCGGUUCUCCCUCCACGAUGAGGUCUACUCCUUCAAGGUCACCGACGAAGGUACCUUGGAGAUUGACUCAUUACGUUGCUUGGAGACGCAUUCUUUCGUUCAGUAGCACGGACAUCACCGAAGCUUUUAAAACUGCUGAGACACAUUGUCCUCUGAUUUCACUGGUAGCCGUUUCCCUCUAUGCUGUCCGUUCCCUUUUAAGUCCACAAGUCACAAUGAAAUUCUCAUUCAAACUGGAUCCAAGGGGCACAGGAAAAAAGUGUCUACUAGCUGAAGGGAUGGAUCUUAGGUCUUUCUGGCACACACAGUUCCCUAUAGGUCUCCCCAGAAAACAUGCUUCUUAGAUGUGUAGGAAGGAAGAGACUAUGCUUUCCACCAGGAACGCUGAACAGAAUAAUGGAACAGAAUACGAUAGGAGGUUUCACGAUCUCCCUCCUCCCCCCCAAUCUCAAGGGUUACCCUUGAUUAUUCCCACUCAUGGUCUCUCUCUCUGUCUUUAAUUUCUCUAUAAAGGUAUUGUUCUUUAAGUCAUAUAAACCAGAGUUCUAAGCCACCUCUUUGAAUCACUCUUUCCUAUGUAGAUGUGAGAUAUCUGUUAGUAAACUUGUGCUUUGGGGUAUUCUGUUUGUUUGUUUUUGCCUUGUUAAUCUGUUAUUGUACAGUGUCAUCUGAGAGUCUAUGAUGAGUAGAAGAAAAUUCUUUCUUCCCCUACAGUCAGUCCAGAUUAUGUGUGCGUUUGUUUACCUGAUAAGCUCCUGGUCAAAUGGCCUGUGGCAUAACAACAUCCUCUUUCUAGUGUCGAUAGGGGUCAGUCUCGGAGUGCUGGGGUCUACAUCCACUGUAGUAUCUCUAAUAAGUACAAAGUAAAUUUUUCACUUUUUCUGCAUGGAAAGAAGUCUCCCAAAGAUAUGUAUUUGGGCAUAUUAAGUGUCACAUGUCUGUUGACAUGUUAAAAGUUUCUUCCUUGAAACAGUUGUCACAGAUCAAGAUGCCCCACUCACCAGUGACCAUGACCUCCAUCUAGAUUACUACAUUGGACAUAGAUUUACUUUGCUGUUUUCUCAUGGCAUCUCUUUUUUAAAUUAUUUUUUUAUUCAAGUAUAAUUAACCCUGUGUCAUAUUAGUUACAGGUGUACAAUAUUUAAUGAUUGAACAAUUCCUCUACAUUUUUCAGUGCUCAUCAAGAUAAAUCAAGAUAAAUGUACCUUUAAUUCCUUUCUCUAUUUCACCCAUAGCCCCUCCCAUGUCCCAUCUGGCAACCACUGUUUGUUCUUUGUAUUUAAGAGUCUGGUUUUUUUAGUGCACAUGGAACAUUCUCCAGAAUAGAUCACAUUCUUGGUCCUAAAUCAAGUCUCAACCGGUAUCAAAAGAUUGGGAUCAUUC